rnacentral:lncRNA from 1 species
UUCUCAAUGGGACCAAGAGCUUGCAUUGGCCAAAACUUUACAAUGAUUGAAGCCAAGGUCGUGCUCACCAUGAUCCUUCAACGGUUCAGGCUUAGCCUCUCAGGCGAGUAUAAACACGCGCCGGUGGAUCACCUCACUCUAACUCCUCAGUACGGCUUACCCGUAAUGCUUCAGCCUCUGUGAGCCUUUAUGAGCCAAAGAGUUAUCAAAUCCUAUAUCGUGCUUUAAGCCGGUUUAAAUAAAUAGUGAUGUGUGCUACUACUUAACUAAACUGCUAUGUGCUAAUUGAUACUUUUUCAGUUGCAUAAUAUAAGAUGGAUGUCUUAUAGAAGAUCUUUUGUUACUUUCAAAACAAUUUUAAUUUUAUUAAAAACUGGUCAACCAAUAUUUAUGAUUGAUUAAUUCAUCUUAAACUUAUACUAUUAAUAGUGAUUUUAACAAAUUUUUCCCAAGAUGUACAACGCUCUUAUCAUCCUUGUGUGGCAGCCAUUUGUCUUGACAAGAAGAUUCAAGAAACAAGGAAUCUCAGGACCAAGGUACAGAUUCUUGUACGGAAACAUCGACGAGAUAAACAAGAUGAAGAUAGAAUCUCACCUUUCGAUUCUUGAUCCAAACUCCAAUGACAUCUUUCCUCGUAUUUUCCCUCAUUACCAACAAUGGAUGACUCUAUACGGUGCCGUUUUCACCAUCUCAAUCUUUCUACUCAUGUGUUUUUUUUUAACUAUGCGUGACACACACGUUUGUUUAUAUGGUAUAUAUGUCACUAGGAGAUACGUUUCUUUACUGGAACGGAACAGAGCCAAUGCUAUGCAUCUCAGAUCUUGAACUCGUCAAGCAAAUCUUGUCAAACAAGUCAGGUUUCUUUGUUAAAUCAAAGAUAAGGCCAGAGUUCUUUAAACUUGUCGGCAUGAAGGGAUUUGCCUUUGUCGAAGAUGUUGACUGGGUUCGCCAUAGGAGAAUCUUGAACCCUGCUUUCUCCAUCGAUAGGCUCAAGGUCAUGACGAAAGUGAUGGUGGAGUGCACACUGAGGGUGCUGGACAAGUGGAGUAAUGUUAAAAGAGAGCAGAAAAUGGAGAUGAACAGAGAGUUUAGGAGAUUAACGGCUGAUAUUAUAGCAACCGCUGCGUUUGGAAGCAGUUACAACGAAGGAAUCGAAGUGUUUAGGACACAAGAAGAGCUUAAGAAGUGUUUUGUUACAUGUCUCACUAACUUCUACAUCCCUGGAACUCGGUAAGCACAACUCUCAGUUCAUGUUUUUUUUUGUUCUGUUCAGACAAGAUUCUCAAGUUCUUGUUUCUUGUUGUCCAAGGUACCUUCCUACGCCUUCGAAUAUUCAUAUCUGGAAGCUUAAAUAGGAAGAUGAAGAACUCAGUCAAGAAGGUUGUAGAUUCUAGACUAGCAUCAAAACAAGAUUAUGGAGACGAUCUUCUUGGAAUCAUGUUGAAAUCUUGCGAGUCAGAAAGGAACGAAAGAAAGCUGAGCAUUGAAGAGAUCAUAGAUGAAUGGAAGACAUUUUUCUUCGGGGGAUACGAAACUAACUCGAAUCUAUUGACAUGGACCACCAUGUUGCUGAGCUUGCACCAAGACUGGCAGGAGAAGCUAAGACACGAAAUCUUCGAAGAGUGCGGUAAAGACAAGACGCCAGAUUCAGACACUUUCUCCAAACUCAAACUGUUAAUAAAAUGUUUACUUGUGGUUCAAGUAAAGGUUUUCCUUGUGGUUGAAGAAACUUAUUUAUCUCUUGUAGAUGAACAUGGUGUUCUUGGAGUCGCUUCGCCUGUACGGACCAGUAUCAUAUUUCUCCAGAGAUGCAACAAAGGAUCUGACGCUAGGGCACCUAAAGAUCCCCAAGGGCACAACGAUAGUUUUCCCUCUUAUGAAGAUGCACAGCGACAAGGCCGUUUGGGGAUCAGACGCUGAUAAGUUCAACCCGCUGCGAUUUGAAAACGGCGUUUCCAGAGCCGCUAGUCACCCAAACGCUCUCCUCGCGUUCUCAAUGGGACCAAGAGCUUGCAUUGGCCAAAACUUUACAAUGAUUGAAGCCAAGGUCGUGCUCACCAUGAUCCUUCAACGGUUCAGGCUUAGCCUCUCAGGCGAGUAUAAACACGCGCCGGUGGAUCACCUCACUCUAACUCCUCAGUACGGCUUACCCGUAAUGCUUCAGCCUCUGUGAGCCUUUAUGAGCCAAAGAGUUAUCAAAUCCUAUAUCGUGCUUUAAGCCGGUUUAAAUAAAUAGUGAUGUGUGCU